rnacentral:rRNA from 1 species
GACGAACGCUGGCGGCGUGCUUAACACAUGCAAGUCGAACGGAAAGGCCCUGCUUUUGUGGGGUGCUCGAGUGGCGAACGGGUGAGUAACACGUGAGUAACCUGCCCUUGACUUUGGGAUAACUUCAGGAAACUUGGGCUAAUACCGGCUAGGAGCUCCUGCUGCAUGGUGGGGGUUGGAAAGUUUCGGCGGUUGGGGAUGGACUCGCGGCUUAUCAGCUUGUUGGUGGGGUAGUGGCUUACCAAGGCUUUGACGGGUAGCCGGCCUGAGAGGGUGACCGGCCACAUUGGGACUGAGAUACGGCCCAGACUCCUACGGGAGGCAGCAGUGGGGAAGAUUGCACAAUGGGCGGAAGCCUGAUGCAGCAACGCAGCGUGCGGGAUGACGGCAUGCGGGUUGUAAACCGCUUUCGCCUGUGACGAAGCGUGAGUGACGGUAACGGGUAAAGAAGCACCGGCUAACUACGUG